UACGGAGGGUGCGAGCGUUGUCCGGAAUUACUGGGCGUAAAGCGUGCGCAGGCGGUUUUGUAAGUCUGUCGUGAAAGCCCCGGGCUCAACCUGGGAAUUGCGAUGGAGACUGCAAGGCUUGAAUCUGGCAGAGGGGGGUAGAAUUCCACGUGUAGCAGUGAAAUGCGUAGAGAUGUGGAGGAACACCGAUGGCGAAGGCAGCCCCCUGGGUCAAGAUUGACGCUCAUGCACGAAAGCGUGGGGAGCAAACAGG
rnacentral:rRNA from 1 species